UACGAAGGGGGCUAGCGUUGUUCGGAUUUACUGGGCGUAAAGGGCGCGUAGGCGGCCUGCUAAGUCAUACGUGAAAUCCCUCGGCUCAACCGGGGAACUGCGUGUGAUACUGGCGGGCUUGAAUCCGGGAGAGGAAUGCGGAAUUCCAGGUGUAGCGGUGAAAUGCGUAGAUAUCUGGAGGAACACCGGUGGCGAAGGCGGCAUCCUGGACCGGUAUUGACGCUGAGGCGCGAAAGCCAGGGGAGCAAACGGG
rnacentral:rRNA from 1 species